UACGUAGGGGGCAAGCGUUGUCCGGAAUCAUUGGUCAUAAAGAGCGUGUAGGCGGCCAGAUAAGUCCGCUGUGAAAUCUCGAGGCUCAACUUCGAGCUGUCGGUGGAAACUGUCUGGCUAGAGUCCGGAAGAGGAGAAUGGAAUUCCUGGUGUAGCGGUGAAAUGCGCAGAUAUCAGGAAGAACACCCGUGGCGAAGGCGGUUCUCUGGGACGGUACUGACGCUGAGACGCGAAAGCGUGGGGAGCGAACAGG
rnacentral:rRNA from 1 species